rnacentral:rRNA from 1 species
UACGUAGGUGGCAAGCGUUGUCCGGAUUUACUGGGCGUAAAGGGUGCGUAGGUGGUUUCUUAAGUCAGAGGUGAAAGGCUACGGCUCAACCGUAGUAAGCCUUUGAAACUGGGAAACUUGAGUGCAGGAGAGGAGAGUGGAAUUCCUAGUGUAGCGGUGAAAUGCGUAGAUAUUAGGAGGAACAUCAGUGGCGAAGGCGGCUUACUGGACUGUAACUGACACUGAGGCUCGAAAGCGUGGGGAGCAAACAGGAUUAGAUACCCCGGUAGUCCCUGAGCGGG